CCCGCUGAACUUAAGCAUAUCAAUAAGCGGAGGAAAAGAAACUAACAAGGAUUCCCCUAGUAACUGCGAGUGAAGCGGGAAAAGCUCAAAUUUAAAAUCUGGCGGUCUUUGCGGCCGUCCGAGUUGUAAUCUAGAGAAGUGUUAUCCGCGCUGGACCGUGUACAAGUCUCCUGGAACGGAGCGUCAUAGAGGGUGAGAAUCCCGUCUUUGACACGGACUUACCAGGGCUUAUGUGAUGCGCUCUCGAAGAGUCGAGUUGUUUGGGAAUGCAGCUCAAAAUGGGUGGUAAAUUCCAUCUAAAGCUAAAUAUUGGCGAGAGACCGAUAGCGAACAAGUACCGUGAGGGAAAGAUGAAAAGAACUUUGGAAAGAGAGUUAAACAGUACGUGAAAUUGUUGAAAGGGAAACGCUUGAAGUCAGUCGCGUCGGCUUGGGGGAUCAACCUUGCAUUCAUUUGCUGGGCGUACUUCCCUAGUCGAUGGGUCAGCAUCAAUUUUGAUCGUUGGAUAAAGGUCUGGGGAAUGUGGCAUCUUCGGAUGUGUUAUAUGCUCCUUGGUCGGAUACAACGGUUGGGAUUGAGGAACUCAGCACGCCGCAAGGCCGGGUCUUCGGACCACGUAACGUGCUUAGGAUGCUGGCAUAAUGGCUUUAAUCGACCUGUCUUGAAACACGGAAGGGCGAAUUCGCGGCCGACAUAUAUUACAAAUUCCGCUCCCUAUAUGUAUUU
rnacentral:rRNA from 1 species